rnacentral:rRNA from 1 species
UACGUAGGUGGCAAGCGUUGUCCGGAUUUACUGGGCGUAAAGGAUGCGUAGGCGGACAUUUAAGUCAGAUGUGAAAUACCCGAGCUUAACUUGGGUGCUGCAUUUCAAACUGGAUAUCUAGAGUGCAGGAGAGGAAAGCGGAAUUCCUAGUGUAGCGGUGAAAUGCGUAGAGAUUAGGAAGAACACCAGUGGCGAAGGCGGCUUUCUGGACUGUAACUGACGCUGAGGCAUGAAAGCGUGGGGAGCAAACAGG